rnacentral:rRNA from 1 species
AAACCUGAGGAACCCGAAAGAUCGAAUGGGAAGAUUCAGCGUCAGCGGCGCUUGCUCGGCGGGAUCGUGCGUCGUCUCGGAUCGGAUUCUUCGGUCCUGGGAUGACGUUAAUCUUUCCAUGCCUUGUUUCGGCGUCGUCGUCGUGCACUUCUUCCCUAGUAGAACGUCGCGACCCGUUGGGUGCCGGUCUACGGUACGAGCGGGUUAGACUGUCGCGUCGCUUAGGCGCACGCGGCAGACCCUCGUUAACCCGGCCGGCUGCCCGGCGGUCGAACUUUUAUAAGGUAUCUUGCCGCAAUUGAACUAAAUGCGUCGCGGCCCGUCGCAAGCGAGGUCAGUUAAGCGUUCAUCGCGCGCGCGGAGUUACGGACCCGGUGCCGUACCCGCGGCUGGCCGGCUGUUGGCAGACGGAGUCCUUCGACGGGCAAUACACACAAACGAUACCGGUCUGCGACGCUACUGCUUUGGGUACUCUCAGGACCC